AACGCACCUUGCGCCUUUUGGUAUUCCGAAAGGCAUGCCUGUUUGAGUGUCAUGAAAUCUCAAUCCCAUCUGGUUUAUGAUCAGGUGUUGGACUUGGACAUGGGCGUCUGCCGGUCACACGGCUCGCCUCAAAUGACUUAGUGGGAUCGCUAGCAUCCGUGACAGACGUAAUAAGUUUCGUCUUGUCCCUUGCGUGCGUCAAGCCUGCUCAGAACACUGCUUGCCUCUGUGCAACACUUUUUUGACUCUGACCUCAAAUCAGGUAGGACUACCCGCUGAACUUAA
rnacentral:misc_RNA from 1 species